CAACACACGAUUCUUUCUCUUCUAACAAUCACCCUUCUCAUUGCCGCCUCCUUUCUCUUAUCCCUGAUGAACAAAAUAGCCAAUUAGCAGAGCAAGUGCAUCAAUUAACGAUGAUGAACACUUGCAUUGAAGGUUGGCAAUAUCAAAAAGCGAUUCUCCGUGCCUUUCAAAUAGUUUUCAUUUUGAUUACGGCCUCGAACAAAUCGCUAAACUUCCCAUACGAAAUCUUCAUCAAAAGUAUAAGCAAGGUUGGAGUGGGAUAGAAGAUUUCUAUCAUGUGUUUCGGGUUUAAGCAUUGACUAUGGAAAAAAUUGUAUUAGGUAGUGUUUUUCCUGACUUUAUGUGGUGAAAAUUUGAUAUAUCGGACGUUAGGUAGGAAAUUAAAAAUAAAAAGAUUGGCAUAGUUUUGUUUUGAUUACAUGAGGCUUUUGUAGUUUUUUUUUAUGAAAAAUAGAAAUUGUUCAA